UAACGCGAAGAACCUUACCAGGUCUUGACAUACUAUGCAAAUCUAAGAGAUUAGACGUUCCCUUCGGGGACAUGGAUACAGGUGGUGCAUGGUUGUCGUCAGCUCGUGUCGUGAGAUGUUGGGUUAAGUCCCGCAACGAGCGCAACCCUUAUUAUCAGUUGCCAGCAUUAAGCUGGGCACUCUAGUGAGACUGCCGGUGACAAACCGGAGGAAGGUGGGGAUGACGUCAAAUCAUCAUGCCCCUUAUGACCUGGGCUACACACGUGCUACAAUGGAUGGUACAACGAGUUGCGAACUCGCGAGAGUAAGCUAAUCUCUUAAAGCCAUUCUCAGUUCGGAUUGUAGGCUGCAACUCGCCUACAUGAAGUCGGAAUCGCUAGUAAUCGCGGAUCAGC
rnacentral:rRNA from 1 species